AGUUUGAUCCUGGCUCAGGAUGAACGCUAGCUACAGGCUUAACACAUGCAAGUCGAGGGGCAGCAUGAACUUAGCUUGCUAAGUUUGAUGGCGACCGGCGCACGGGUGAGUAACACGUAUCCAACCUUCCGUUUACUCAGGGAUAGCCUUUCGAAAGAAAGAUUAAUACCUGAUAGUAUGGUGAGAUUGCAUGAUAACACCAUUAAAGAUUUAUUGGUAAACGAUGGGGAUGCGUUCCAUUAGGUAGUAGGCGGGGUAACGGCCCACCUAGCCAACGAUGGAUAGGGGUUCUGAGAGGAAGGUCCCCCACAUUGGAACUGAGACACGGUCCAAACUCCUACGGGAGGCAGCAGUGAGGAAUAUUGGUCAAUGGACGAGAGUCUGAACCAGCCAAGUAGCGUGAAGGAUGAAGGUCCUACGGAUUGUAAACUUCUUUUAUAAGGGAAUAAACCCUCCCACGUGUGGGAGCUUGUAUGUACCUUAUGAAUAAGCAUCGGCUAACUCCGUGCCAGCAGCCGCGGUAAUACGGAGGAUGCGAGCGUUAUCCGGAUUUAUUGGGUUUAAAGGGAGCGCAGACGGGUCGUUAAGUCAGCUGUGAAAGUUUGGGGCUCAACCUUAAAAUUGCAGUUGAUACUGGCGUCCUUGAGUGCGGUUGAGGUGUGCGGAAUUCGUGGUGUAGCGGUGAAAUGCUUAGAUAUCACGAAGAACUCCGAUUGCGAAGGCAGCACACUAAUCCGUAACUGACGUUCAUGCUCGAAAGUGUGGGUAUCAAACAGGAUUAGAUACCCUGGUAGUCCACACGGUAAACGAUGGAUACUCGCUGUUGGCGAUAUACUGUCAGCGGCUUAGCGAAAGCGUUAAGUAUCCCACCUGGGGAGUACGCCGGCAACGGUGAAACUCAAAGGAAUUGACGG
rnacentral:rRNA from 1 species